rnacentral:misc_RNA from 1 species
AACGCACAUUGCGCCCGCCGGAAUUCCGGCGGGCACGCCUGUCCGAGCGCCAUUUCACACCUCGAGCCCCCGUGCUCGGUGUUGGGCGACGCCCGUGAGGGCACGCCUCGAACGCGUAGGCGCCGGCGCCCAGGCCCGGGAGCAACGAGCUUAACCGCACGCGACCGGGACUGCUGGCGGCGGCCGCCCCUUCAAAACCCCCAACGCAUGGCCUCGGAUCAGGCGGGGUUACCCGCUGAACUUAA